rnacentral:rRNA from 1 species
ACCCGCUGAACUUAAGCAUAUCAAUAAGCGGAGGAAAAGAAACCAACAGGGAUUGCCUUAGUAACUGCGAGUGAAGCGGCAAAAGCUCAAAUUUGAAAUCUGGUGCCUUCGGCGCCCGAGUUGUAAUUUGGAGAGACAUCUUCGGAGUAGACGCCGUCUUAAGUUCCUUGGAACAGGACGUCACAGAGGGUGAGAAUCCCGUGCCUGGAUGGCUGUUCUACUUCAUGUGAAGUGUCUUCGACGAGUCGAGUUGUUUGGGAAUGCAGCUCAAAAUGGGAGGUAAAUUUCUUCUAAAGCUAAAUAUUGGCGAGAGACCGAUAGCGCACAAGUAGAGUGAUCGAAAGAUGAAAAGCACUUUGAAAAGAGAGUUAAAAAGUACGUGAAAUUGUUGAAAGGGAAGCGCUUGAGACCAGACUCGACCAGUGGUGAUCAGCGGUGCUUCUGUGCCGUGCACUUGCCAUUGGUUGGGCCAGCAUCGGUUUGGACGGCGGGAUAAAGACCUAAGGAAUGUGGCUCCCUCCGGGGAGUGUUAUAGCCUUGAGUGCAAUGCCGCCAGUCUGGACCGAGGACCGCGCUUCGGCUAGGAUGCUGGCGUAAUGGUCUU